UUAAAAACAUGACCAUGAACCAAUGCCUCAGCUCACAUUCUUGUUCGCGUAUUCUCCCUGCUGAAGGUACCACGCCGGAAACCUAUUUCGUCGCGCCAGAAUCGCCUCCGGUGGCAGAGAAGAUCCUAUAUCGAAAUUAAACAUACUAACCUACACCUUUUAAUCCAGGCGAACCGAAUUCAGCUAGCGUUCAUUCCAAUUUCAACUCAUGAAGCCAAAUCAAACUGAUCGACGAAGAACCUAAUCGAACCGAUCGACGAUUAAACCACGAAAUCGCAGAAUCCAAACCAUGAACGAUGCUCUACAUGAUUGCAAGCGAUUGCUAUGAGACGACGGAGGAUCAGAGACCUAUCGGAGAUAUGAACCGCGUGUAGCGUUGUCGUCGAGGCUGAAGACUCAAGUCGCGCGUUCGCGUUCUUUGUUUUCCCGUUCGUCAAUUGCGGCGGGUCGAAUGUCCAUAUUGCUCCAUCAUCCGUUCGCGAUUUCACGAUUCGUAUCGUCAAACUCGCGUCUCAAUCGGAUUUAAGCUCAAAGUGGUGACAGAUUUGGCUUCUUGUCGCGGCUUGGCUUAGUUUCAUUAUCGAGGUUGUCGUGGAUUAUUGUUGGAUUGAUGGCUUACGUUCAUAGCAUAUAUGAGGUUGUGUUUUGGUGGUUUGUGGCUUCUGCAGUUAAGCUGUGUUUGAACCUUGGUUUGUAGUUCCGUUUGGUAGUUGCGGAUCGAUAGUGGUUUUGGAGAUGCUUACGCUUAGGCUUUUCUGCUAUGUUGUUGCGUUGUCGGCGGAUGGUGUUGUGCCAUGGGCUUUAUUUGGUAGUUGCUGCUUUGGAAUUGUUGUAGGAUUGAGUUUUGCCGAUGGUUUUAUGCAGCUUCUGUGGUUUCAGCAUUGCUUGUACAUGUUGUCGUUUUCCUUGCAGUUCCGACGUAUUCGUUUUGCAGCUUGCGUUGAUGUUUGCAAUGCCUUUGGCUUUCUUGCAGCGUUGGAUGCUGCGACUAUGUUUUCCAUUUGCAGCUUGUGUUGCUGCUCUGCUGCGUGCUCUGUUGCAGCAGUUUGCAGUUGCUUUUUUCUUACAUUUUGAGUAGUAUAAAUUGUUAUGUACAUGGGUUAGAAAUGGGUUAACGGUUCUAUGGAUAUUGAAUUAAUGUGGUUUUGGAUAAUUGGAAUGGGUUUAAAAUUGGUAAAUGGAUUUGACAUGGAUAUGAAUGAAAUUGGUUUUAAAAUGGAUA